CCUACGGGUGGCAGCAGUGAGGAAUAUUGGUCAAUGGACGGAAGUCUGAACCAGCCAUGCCGCGUGCAGGAAGACGGCUCUAUGAGUUGUAAACUGCUUUUGUACAAGGGUAAACCUGAAUACGUGUAUUCAGCUGAAAGUACUGUACGAAUAAGGAUCGGCUAACUCCGUGCCAGCAGCCGCGGUAAUACGGAGGAUCCAAGCGUUAUCCGGAUUUAUUGGGUUUAAAGGGUGCGUAGGCGGAUUGAUAAGUUAGAGUUGAAAUGUCAGAGCUUAACUCGGGAAUUGCAACUAAUACUGGUGAUCUAGAGAGUAGAUGCGGUAGGCGGAAUGCAUGGUGUAGCGGGGAAAUGCUUAGAGAUCAUACAGAACACCGAUUGCGAAGGCAGCUUACCAAUCUAUAUCUGACGUUGAGGCACGAAAGCGUGGGGAGCAAACAGGAUUAGAUACCCGGGUAGUC
rnacentral:rRNA from 1 species